AGACAAAUAACACAUUAUUGAAAUGCCCUGAUAAGUGCUUUUCAUAGAUAAUACUAUGGAAUUACAGAGGAGGGGCACUUAAUCCAGACUGGGAGGGGCAUAAAAGAGGAAGGCACUACUUCCCAUAACAAGAAGUUCUACAUUGGGACCACACCACUCCAGGAUUGAUUCAUUCAAUGGCUCACAAAUCUGCCAUCCUCAGGACCCAGUGAUGUCCAAGGACUGAAAAGGAUUGUGUGUCUCUACUUAUUAGCUUGAGAAACCUUGCCAGAGGUCCUUGGAUGCUUUCUACUCACAUCUAUUUGCCCAAAUUAGAUAUAUCCCUGGCAAGGUGAAUGAGUGCCUUAGAUCAGUCCCAAUUCCCUUCUGUAGGCCUGAAGCUAGAGAGACUUAGCAGGAAGAUGGAACUUACCCAAAAGUAGAGCUCUGCCAGCAUGGGAAAAAGGAAAAGUGCCUGCAAGAGGAAAAACAACAAAGAGAGAGAGGUGGAGAGGAACACGCCAAAGAAAGAGAGAGAGCCCACACUAUCCUAAGCUCCUGAAUGCACUGUGACAUCCAGAUGUCCUGGGGAAGACAUAAAUACAUCAUACAGCACCCACAGGAACCUCAAGAGACUGGAGUUAAUAAAGAGAUUAAAGAGAUUAA
rnacentral:sRNA from 1 species